CAAGCGGCGGAACAUGCGGAUUAAUUCGAUGCAACGCGAAGAACCUUACCAAGGCUUGACAUACACCGGUAACGCCCAGAGAUGGGUGCCCCUUUGUGGUCGGUGGACAGGUGGUGCAUGGUUGUCGUCAGCUCGUGUCGUGAGAUGUUGGGUUAAGUCCCGCAACGAGCGCAACCCUCGUCCUAUGUUGCCAGCGGGUCAUGCCGGGGACUCAUGGGAGACUGCCGGGGUCAACUCGGAGGAAGGUGGGGAUGACGUCAAAUCAUCAUGCCCCUUAUGUCUUGGGCUUCACGCAUGCUACAAUGGCCGGUACAAAGGGCUGCGAUACCGCGAGGUGGAGCGAAUCCCAGAAAGCCGGUCUCAGUUCGGAUUGGGGUCUGCAACUCGACCCCAUGAAGUCGGAGUCGCUAGUAAUCGCAGAUCAGCACGCCGCGGUGAAUACGUUCCCGGGCCUU
rnacentral:rRNA from 1 species